rnacentral:rRNA from 1 species
AGUGAACGCUGGCGGUAGGCCUAACACAUGCAAGUCGAACGGCAGCACAGUAAGAGCUUGCUCUUACGGGUGGCGAGUGGCGGACGGGUGAGGAAUACAUCGGAAUCUACUUUUUCGUGGGGGAUAACGUAGGGAAACUUACGCUAAUACCGCAUACGACCUACGGGUGAAAGCAGGGGAUCUUCGGACCUUGCGCGAUUGAAUGAGCCGAUGUCGGAUUAGCUAGUUGGCGGGGUAAAGGCCCACCAAGGCGACGAUCCGUAGCUGGUCUGAGAGGAUGAUCAGCCACACUGGAACUGAGGCACGUUCGCGACUCCUACGGGGGGCAGCAGUGGGGAAUAUUGGACGAUGGGCGCAAGCCUGAUCCAGCCAUACCGCGUGGGUGAAGAAGGACUUCGGGUUGUAAAGCCCUUUUGUUGGGAAAGAAAAGCAGCAGGUUAAUACCCCGCUGUUCUGACGGUACCCAAAGAAUAAGCACCGGCUAACUUCGUG